rnacentral:rRNA from 1 species
AUGAUUAAUGUGCUAUGCAACUUCCAUUCGCGAGGGGGGGGCUGUGUUUACACAUCAUACCAUGGGUUUCAUGAAUCACCAUAUCCAGAGAUUCGUCGACACAGCUUGUUGCCAGUACCAUAUAACUGGAAUUACCGAUGCAAGUCGAAGAAGGAUUGGUCGGUGCUGCCGGCUGGCGUCAAGUUCUAUCCCAUGGAACAGGAGCUGAUCGAGCACCUUGAGGCCGAAGUGAGUGUUGACAACGCGAGAUUUCAGUCUCUCAUCGAUUUGUUCAUACCAACCAUCGACAGCGAGCACGGCAUAUGCUACACCCAACCUGAGAAACUUCCAGCAAAAAAGGUUCUGGUGCUGCACACCAACAAGAACUUCGACCAGCAGAGGACCAACUGGGUGAUGCACCAGUACCACAUUGGGGACCUGGAGCAAGAGAAGGAGCGGGAGCUGGUCCUCUGCAAGAUUUUCUACCAGACGAACACUAGGGCCAGGAGUAGUUUGGUAUUUGUAGUUGUACUACCUUGUUGUCCGCAAGUUGGUAUUGUUGUUAACGAUCUUUUGCUAUGA